rnacentral:rRNA from 1 species
UACGUAGGGGGCUAGCGUUGUCCGGAUUUACUGGGCGUAAAGGGCGCGUAGGCGGCGUGGUAAGUCAGCUGUGAAAUCUCCGAGCUUAACUCGGAACGGUCAGCUGAUACUGCUGUGCUAGAGUACAGAAGGGGCAAUCGGAAUUCUUGGUGUAGCGGUGAAAUGCGUAGAUAUCAAGAGGAACACCUGAGGCGAAGGCGGGUUGCUAGGCUGAUACUGACGCUGAGGCGCGAAAGCUAGGGUAGCAAACGGG